rnacentral:rRNA from 1 species
ACGGGAGGCAGCAGUAGGGAAUAUUGCACAAUGGGGGCAACCCUGAUGCAGCAACACCACGUGUGGGAAGAAGCAUUUCGGUGUGUAAACCACUAUCGUGAGGGAAUAAUGCUUAAUUUCGGUUAAGUUGAAUGUACCUCGAAAGGAAGCACCGGCAAACUGCGUGCCAGCAGCCGCGGUAAUACGAGGGGUGCAAGCGUUGUUCGGAAUCACUGGGCGUAAAGGGAGCGCAGGCGGAGAUGCAAGCAGUCUGUACAAUCCCGGGGCCCAACCCCGGACCUGCAGACUGGACUGUUUCUCUUGGGUAGUGCAGGGGCAAGCGGAAUUCCUGGUGUAGCGGUGGAAUGCGUAGAGAUCAGGAAGAACACCGGUGGCGAAGGCAGCUUGCUGGGGACUUACCGACGCUCAUGCUCGAAAGUGCGGGUAGCAAACAGGAUUAGAUACCCUGGUA